UUCAAGGAAGUGGUAUGGAAGACGGUUCAAGAUGAUACCAAUGCUGAGGAAAGCAUGAGCAUCGUGCAAGCUGAUGACUACGAGAAGGGUGAAGGCUGUUUCUCAAAGCCAAUGGCGAGCAAAACCCAAGAUUAAAAAAUUAUAGGGUGCGGUGCAUAUGGUGUACUUGCUUUCGAGCUCUAGUCUUUGGCAAAGAGAAUCAUAAGUCUUUGUUGUUCGUCAUCAGGCUGCGAGCGCAAUUGGACUACACUUUCUCAAAUCCAUACCAAAAAAAGGAACCAUUUGGAGGUCAAGAAGCAGAAUAAGUUAGUGUAUGUUUCAUACUGCCGGAUAAUGAAAACAAGGUUUCAGAAGCUGUGAGAGGCUGGAUCUAUAUCAAAGAAGACUAACUAGCUGAUCCUUGAGGAAUUUCUGUAGGAAAAUGAAUGGGUUAAUGUUCACGCCGAAGUUGUUUAUCAAGACGGUGACGGUGCUACGUUAACUUGGUGUGACAUUGAUUCAGCAAUGCGUGCUAGUCCUACGAAAAUGCUAAGAGGGCAGAGCUUAUCAAGGACUGCUCCUGGUCAUACUAGUCUGAGACCUAUAGGCGCUCAUAUCACUUAUGCUUGGAAGAUGGCACAUACAGUUGUUGAAGAAGAGUUUGAGGAGCAGCAAUGA
rnacentral:rRNA from 1 species